rnacentral:rRNA from 1 species
GACGAACGCUGGCGGCGUGCUUAACACAUGCAAGUCGAGCGGAAAGGCCCUUCGGGGUACUCGAGUGGCGAACGGGUGAGUAACACGUGGGUGAUCUGCCCUGCACUUUGGGAUAAGCCUGGGAAACUGGGUCUAAUACCGAAUAGGACCACGCGCUUCAUGGUGUGUGGUGGAAAGCUUUUGCGGUGUGGGAUGGGCCCGCGGCCUAUCAGCUUGUUGGUGGGGUAAUGGCCUACCAAGGCGACGACGGGUAGCCGGCCUGAGAGGGUGACCGGCCACACUGGGACUGAGAUACGGCCCAGACUCCUACGGGAGGCAGCAGUGGGGAAUAUUGCACAAUGGGCGCAAGCCUGAUGCAGCGACGCCGCGUGAGGGAUGACGGCCUUCGGGUUGUAAACCUCUUUCAAUAGGGACGAAGCGCAAGUGACGGUACCUAUAGAAGAAGCACCGGCAAACUACGUG